UACGGAGGAUGCAAGCGUUAUCCGGAUUCACUGGGUUUAAAGGGUGCGCAGGCGGAAUAAUAAGUCAGUGGUGAAAGCCUACAGCUUAACUGUAGAACUGCCAUUGAUACUGUCAUUCUUGAGUAUUGUUGAGGUAGGCGGAAUGUGUCAUGUAGCGGUGAAAUGCUUAGAUAUGACACAGAACACCGAUCGCGAAGGCAGCUUACCAAGCAAUAACUGACGCUCAUGCACGAAAGCGUGGGGAUCAAACAGG
rnacentral:rRNA from 1 species